AUACGGAGGGUGCAAGCGUUGCUCGGAAUUACUGGGCGUAAAGCGUACGCAGGCGGCGCAUCAAGUCGGAUGUGAAAGCCCUGGGCUCAACCCAGGAACUGCAUUCGAAACUGGUGUGCUUGAGUCCGAGAGAGGGUGGUGGAAUUCCUGGUGUAGAGGUGAAAUUCGUUGAGAUCAGGAGGAACAUCAGCGGCGAAGGCGGCCACCUGGCUCGGUACUGACGCUCAUGUACGAAAGCGUGGGUAGCAAACAGGAUUAGAUACCCUGGUAGUCCACGCCGUAAACGAUGGAUGCUAGGUGUCGGAGGAUUCACCCCUUCGGUGCCGAAGUUAACGCAUUAAGCAUCCCGCCUGGGGAGUACGGUCGCAAGAUUAAA
rnacentral:rRNA from 1 species